CAUUUUAUUUUUCCAAUAUCAUCUCUCUUUUGCAAAACACAGAAAAUUAUUUUCUUCUCCGGCGAAAGUCGCCGCCGGUUGGUGUAUCCUCCUUCCACCCUUCACAUCUGAUUCUCCCUCUUACUGAUUCACGCUAACCUUCCCCUAAUCUGCCCUCAUUUUUCCCUCAUUCAUCUUCCUCCAAAUCGAUCAAUUCCUCCUGAAAUCGCGAAUCCAUCGCCGAAAUCUGCCAUCUCUCGUUUGAAUUCCCUCUCCGAUUAUACGACGGCGAGUCUUUCCCGCAUCAUCACAAUCGGUCGAACGCUACUUCUCACGAAAUUUUCUCGGCCUUCGACCUGCAGCGCGAGCUACCGUCGUCGACAGCUUCCAGCUCCUCUCUCGUAUGUAGUGCAUUGUGAUAGAUGAAGCUGAUAGGAUUCUGGAAGCUGAUAGGAUUCUGGAAGCUAAUAGAAGAAAUGAAGUAAAUACUUAAAAUUUUACCCAAGACUGAACAGGAACUCUACAAUGAAAGUUGAAAUUUCUGCUCACGACUCUAAGCAUUGGAAGAUACUUUCUAAGUAAAGCAUCUUGCUGGUUCGUGAAAAUGGACACGCCAUAACACUGGGUUGCUUUAUUCGGGAAGAAGUUAAUCCGGGGCUCAAGCUUAUCCCUCUGAAAAGGUCACUUUUGUGUAUGUGAUGCAAGUUGUUGGUUCGGUUAUGACUAACAAGUACAAUGAUGGAUAUCAAGAUGCAAAAUAUUAUGGAGGAUAUAAUAUAUUGACAUGCUGAAUUGCUAUGCCAGAAGAAUGCAUGGAAACAUUUUGGUUUGACUCUACAAAAUGGGGAGUUAAUGCGCAGCCUCUAUCAGGAUCUCUGUCAAACUUUCAUGUUUACACUGCUUUACUUUCAUAUUACAAGGAGAGGACUUGACCUUUAUCAAGACCAAAUGCCAACGAGUCUGAGACAAUGGAGUCACCACAUACUUUGUUCGUGUUGAGAUGCUGAACCGAGACCAGAGCUGAAUGUCUUGUUUCUUUUGCCCUGUUUUGGCCUUGUUUUAGUUGAUGGAAGACUGUAUUUUCUAGUAUAUGUCUUUCUAUAAUUGUAAAAAGCUUGGAUGCUGACUGCAGCCUUUUUGAGAUAAAUGAAAUUAUUUUAGUUCUUA